AGUCCAAUGGCCCAUGCACACGAUGGAUUGCCUGCUUAACUCAUGGCUAGAACGCCCGCACUGGUCGCCUUGCUCUGUCCUUUCUCCCAGCCCUAGAAUGGGCACCAGAAUACCUCCCACUUGUGGUGAUUCAUUCCUUUCUUUCUUCUUGCCUUCCUUCUGCGCAUGCUCAUUAUGUCCUUGCUGGGUGUGAAGCCCUGAGCAGGACGCAGGGAUGAGCCGCGAUGGAUCGGGUGCCGCUGCCCUCAUGGCCCAACGGCAAAAAUGAGCCCUGGCUCUGGCUUUCAAGAUUCUGGAGAAUAUGGAUACAGAUGUACUUUAUGAGAUGGAAGAUUCCAUUCCACUGAUUAUCGUUGUUAAUGGAGGGCAUUUGUUCCCGAACCCAGACAAGGGGAUAGAGUCUGGAGGAGCGAGUCUGCAAAAGCUGUCACUGAAGGCUCACUGCAGCACUUGGUCCCGGGGAGCCUGGCGCCUCUCCCCACAUCCCUCCCCUGGCAGGACAAUUCUGCAGCCAGGACUUCGGGAAUCGCUUCGGAAGCAUUGUGUAAGAAACCUUUCCACCCCUGCUGAAAUGGCGUUGAUCAAGACCAUCCCUUUGCCUUCGAUCUCACAGCCAGGAAGCAGAAGCACCAGGAUUGAAGAGUUUCCAAGACCAACUGGCAGAUCUAUGCUGGUCCAGUAUGUUGCCAGUGAAGGACAGGGAAGCCUGGCAUGCUGCAAUCUGUGCAUGCGUGCUAAUUCACUUCCAUCGUGUCUGACUCUUUGCAACACUAUGGACCGUAGCCCAUCAGGCUCUUCUGUCCAUGGGAUUCU